rnacentral:rRNA from 1 species
CCUACGGGGGGCAGCAGUGGGGAAUAUUGGACAAUGGGGGCAACCCUGAUCCAGCCAUGCCGCGUGUGUGAAGAAGGCCCUCGGGUUGUAAAGCACUUUCAGUGAGGAAGAACGCCUGGUGGUUAAUACCCAUCAGGAAAGACAUCACUCACAGAAGAAGCACCGGCUAACUCCGUGCCAGCAGCCGCGGUAAUACGGAGGGUGCGAGCGUUAAUCGGAAUUACUGGGCGUAAAGCGCGCGUAGGUGGCUUGAUAAGCCGGUUGUGAAAGCCCUGGGCUCAACCUGGGAACGGCAUCCGGAACUGUCAAGCUAGAGUGCAGGAGAGGAAGGUAGAAUUCCCGGUGUAGCGGUGAAAUGCGUAGAGAUCGGGAGGAAUACCAGUGGCGAAGGCGGCCUUCUGGACUGACACUGACACUGAGGUGCGAAAGCGUGGGUAGCAAACAGGAUUAGAUACCCUAGUAGUC